GUCGUAACAAGGUCUCCGUUGGUGAACCAGCGGAGGGAUCAUUGUAGAGUUUAUUCUUUUAACUCUUUAACCCUUUGUGAACUUAUUCCGUUCUGUUGCUUCGGCAGGCGGGUGCUGGUAGAAGAACGCUUGUGUAAGUGCGGCUCCGUUAGGGGCGGCUUAUACGGCGGUCUUUAGGCGCCCCGCUUUUGGCCCCUUUGGGGGUGUCUGCCGGAGGGCCACAUAGGCGCUGAUUUUAUAACCUGUGUAAAGAAAACCCCUAAAAAAGGUUGGAUAUUACUGUUUAUUUUCAGAAACAAAAAACAAAUCAAAUUACAACUUUUAGCAAUGGAUCUCUUGGUUCUGACAUCGAUGAAGAACGCAGCGAAAUGCGAUACGUAAUGUGAAUUGCAGAUUUCAGUGAAUCAUCGAAUCUUUGAACGCACCUUGCGCCCGCUAGUAUUCUAGCGGGCAUGCCUAUUCGAGCGUCAUUUCUACCCUCAAGCUUCUGCUUGGUGUUGGAGGAUUUUUUAUAUCACUACGAUUAGAAAACCUCUGAAAUCCAGCGGCGACAGUGCUUUCUGGCCGUCCCCUGCAAAGUAAAUUUCUACUGGCAGUUUGGGAUCCAGGCAUGUGUUAGCCUCUAAAGAAAUUUUCAAUUAUUUUCAAUAGUUGACCUCGAAUUAGGUAGGAAUACCCGCUGAACUUAAGCAUAUCAAUAA
rnacentral:rRNA from 1 species